CACCUAUAAUCGUUUUAAUCGAUGGGGGGACGCAGUAGGAUAGGCGAAGCGUGCGAUUGGAUUGCACGUCUAAGCAGUAAGGCUGAGUAUUAGGCAAAUCCGGUACUCGUUAAGGCUGAGCUGUGAUGGGGAGAAGACAUUGUGUCUUCGAGUCGUUGAUUUCACACUGCCGAGAAAAGCCUCUAGAUAGAAAAUAGGUGCCCGUACCGCAAACCGACACAGGUAGUCAAGAUGAGAAUUCUAAGGUGAGCGAGCGAACUCUCGUUAAGGAACUCGGCAAAAUGACCCCGUAACUUCGGGAGAAGGGGUGCUCUUUAGGGUUAACGCCCAGAAGAGCCGCAGUGAAUAGGCCCAAGCGACUGUUUAUCAAAAACACAGGUCUCUGCUAAACCGUAAGGUGAUGUAUAGGGGCUGACGCCUGCCCGGUGCUGGAAGGUUAAGAGGAGUGGUUAGCUUCUGCGAAGCUACGAAUCGAAGCCCCAGUAAACGGCGGCCGUAACUAUAACGGUCCUAAGGUAGCGAAAUUCCUUGUCGGGUAAGUUCCGACCCGCACGAAAGGCGUAACGAUUUGGGCACUGUCUCAACGAGAGACUCGGUGAAAUCAUAGUACCUGUGAAGAUGCAGGUUACCCGCGACAGGACGGAAAGACCCCGUGGAGCUUUACUGUAGCCUGAUAUUGAAAUUCGGCACAGCUUGUACAGGAUAGGUAGGAGCCUUUGAAACGUGAGCGCUAGCUUACGUGGAGGCGCUGGUGGGAUACUACCCUAGCUGUGUUGGCUUUCUAACCCGCACCACUUAUCGUGGUGGGAGACAGUGUCAGGCGGGCAGUUUGACUGGGGCGGUCGCCUCCUAAAAGGUAACGGAGGCGCUCAAAGGUUCCCUCAGAAUGGUUGGAAAUCAUUCAUAGAGUGUAAAGGCAUAAGGGAGCUUGACUGCGAGACCUACAAGUCGAGCAGGGUCGAAAGACGGACUUAGUGAUCCGGUGGUUCCGCAUGGAAGGGCCAUCGCUCAACGGAUAAAAGCUACCCCGGGGAUAACAGGCUUAUCUCCCCCAAGAGUUCACAUCGACGGGGAGGUUUGGCACCUCGAUGUCGGCUCAUCGCAUCCUGGGGCUGUAGUCGGUCCCAAGGGUUGGGCUGUUCGCCCAUUAAAGCGGUACGCGAGCUGGGUUCAGAACGUCGUGAGACAGUUCGGUCCCUAUCCGUCGUGGGCGUAGGAAAUUUGAGAGGAGCUGUCCUUAGUACGAGAGGACCGGGAUGGACAUACCUCUGGUGUACCAGUUGUCGUGCCAACGGCAUAGCUGGGUAGCUAUGUGUGGACGGGAUAAGUGCUGAAAGCAUCUAAGCAUGAAGCCCCCCUCAAGAUGAGAUUUCCCAACUUCGGUUAUAAGAUCCCUCAAAGAUGAUGAGGUUAAUAGGUUCGAGGUGGAAGCAUGGUGACAUGUGGAGCUGACGAAUACUAAUCGAUCGAAGACUUAAUCAA
rnacentral:rRNA from 1 species